rnacentral:lncRNA from 1 species
GGGCUGGAGACAAUUAGAUGUGAUUACAAAAGGGCCUCCGUGUCCUUUUCUCUCUGCAGCAGAUGUUCCUGUCAUGCGGUCUGAAGAAGUCCAGAUGUGUUUGCUCAGGAUGUGGAGCUGGGGCCUCCCAGGAGCAGGGAUGAAAGAGUAGCUACCCAAGAGCAGCUGGUACACAGAGAGGCCGGUGCAAAGCAGGGCUGGGGCUGGAGGCCUUGAGACCAUGGGGAGGGCGGGGCUGUCUGCAGAGAGAAGGAGCCAGAGCCAGGCGGGCCUAGGGUUUGGGCCUGGGAUGCCGCUGAGUCACUGACCCAUGUGCUGAGGACUGGACAGUCCAGCCCUUGGCUCUGAGCCGGAGUACAGCGCACUGUGGGUUGCACUAGAUGGCGAGCCCCAUGAGAACAGGUAUCUUCUUGCUGGCUGCUGAAUGCAGGACACCGAGCACAGUACAAAUGGUGCAGGAAGGAAACAAGGGAAGGAGGCAGCAAGGUUUCUCUGCCUCAGCCAGCAACGCCUCACGGACCUAGCUGCCAAGCUAAAACCCUCCUGACCCCCCUCCACUCCUCUCUUCCUCUCAUGGCCCUCCCUGAAGGCUGUACUCUCCAAAUGGAUCUAGAGGUCAGUCAUGUCCGGGACACUCCUCUGUUGUCGCACGGUCCACGCUGCCUGCCUCACCAGCCUCCAGCUGCUCACUCCUUCUGCUCGAUCUUCUUCCAUGACCGUCUCUGCACUCCACCCAUGCAUGUGUUUGUCUUCAGCUAUGUUCUCUGUCUUCCUCCCCAGGAGAACGGAAGUCCCCCGUGUCUGUGGCCUGUGUCUCUGCUGGCCUCUCCUGCUGUGUCCCUCAAAGGGUGCCUGGCACAGGAUCAAUAUGAAGGCCUGCCUCACAGCCCUGGAUCCAUGUUCCGACACACAACAGCCGCUCGAUGUCUAACGGUGAAUGAAUGGAUGGGUGAAUAAGAAAGAAAGAGCAGGUUGGUGAACCCCAACAAAAACUGGUGGAAACUUCUGGCUGGAUACACCCAAAGCCAGGUGAGAAUGAAUAACCCAGGGGAAAGACUCAUCUGGCCCCAGCUAACAGAGAGGCAGACACGCAGGUGGAGGACACGAGUGGGUACCUACGCCA